rnacentral:rRNA from 1 species
GAUGAACGCUGACAGAAUGCUUAACACAUGCAAGUCAACUUGAAUUUGGGUUUUUAACUUAGGUUUGGGUGGCGGACGGGUGAGUAACGCGUAAAGAACUUGCCUCACAGCUAGGGACAACAUUUGGAAACGAAUGCUAAUACCUAAUAUUAUGAUAAUAGGGCAUCCUAUAAUUAUGAAAGCUAUAAGCGCUGUGAGAGAGCUUUGCGUCCCAUUAGCUAGUUGGAGAGGUAACGGCUCACCAAGGCGAUGAUGGGUAGCCGGCCUGAGAGGGUGAUCGGCCACAAGGGGACUGAGACACGGCCCUUACUCCUACGGGAGGCAGCAGUGGGUAAUAUUGGACAAUGGACCAAGAGUCUGAUCCAGCAAUUCUGUGUGCACGAUGAAGUUUUUCGGAAUGUAAAGUGCUUUCAGUUGGGAAGAAAGAAAUGACGGUACCAACAGAAGAAGUGACGGCUAAAUACGUG